GGGGGCACUGUGGGGGCAAUGGGGGGAGGAAUGGGGGGGGCACUGGGGAGGGCAGUGGGGCGGGGGGGGGGAGCUGCAGAAUGGGGUCAUUGUGGGAAUGGGGGGUGGGGGCAGCACGGUGUCCCCAUAGGGUAUGGGAUGUGGGGACACAUAGAAUGGUGUCCCUAUGGGAAUGGGGUCAUGGGGUACACCUCAAUGUCCCCAUAGGUUGUGGGAUAUGGGGACAGACAGAACAGUGCCCCUAUAGGGAAUGGGGUGUGGGGUACAGCCUAAUGAUCCCAUAGGUUAGGGGAUAUGGGGACAUAUAGAAUGGUGUCCCUAUGGGGAAUGGGGUCAUGGGGUACAGAACGGUGUCCCCAUAGGUUAUGGGAUAUGGGGACAGACAGAACGGUGUCCCUAUAAGGAAUGGGAGGGGGGGAGAAUUGCUGUGUCCCUAUAGGGAAUGGGGUGUGGGG
rnacentral:lncRNA from 1 species